UGGGGAAUAUUGCACAAUGGGCGCAAGCCUGAUGCAGCAACGCCGCGUGAACGAUGAAGGUCUUCGGAUCGUAUAGUUCUGUUGCAGGGGAAGAUAAUGACGGUACCCUGUGAGGAAGCCCCGGCUAACUACGUGCCAGCAGCCGCGGUAAUACGUAGGGGGCUAGCGUUAUCCGGAUUUACUGGGCGUAAAGGGUGCGUAGGUGGUCUUUCAAGUCGGUGGUUAAAGGCUACGGCUCAACCGUAGUUAGCCUCCGAAACUGGAAGACUUGAGUGCAGGAGAGGAAAGUGGAAUUCCCAGUGUAGCGAUGAAAUGCGUGGAUAUUGGGAGGAACACCAGUAGCGAAGGCGGCUUUCUGGACUGCAACUGACACUGAGGCACGAAAGCGUGGGUAGCAAACAGG
rnacentral:rRNA from 1 species